CCCCUAGAUGUUCUGGGCCGCACGCGCGCUACACUGAACAGUUCAACAAGUCUUAACCUUGGCCGAUAGGUCUGGGUAAUCUUUGAACGCUGUUCGUGAUUGGGAUAGACCUUUGCAAUUAUGGGUCUUCAACGAGGAAUUCCCAGUAAACGCAAGUCAUCAGCUUGCAUUGAUUACGUCCCUGCCCUUUGUACACACCGCCCGUCGCACCUACCGAUUGAAUGGUCCGGUGAAAUCUCGGGACGGCGGCUUGGUCGCUUGCGUCCGACUGCUGAAACUUGAUUAAACCAUAUCAUUUAGAGGAAGGUGAANUCGUAGCA
rnacentral:rRNA from 1 species